rnacentral:pre_miRNA from 1 species
AAAAAUACAAACCCUGAGUUUCCGUGUCCAACUUUAACUGUUCGUCUUAUAUGAAAUUUUUUUAUAAUUCGUAUUUUCAUUGUUGUUAGAUGAUAAAACAUGAUUAAUAUUUUAUGCGUGACUUGUCUUUUUAAUUUUUUUCAUAAUUUUUUCAAAUAAGACGGACGGUUAAACGUUGGGCACGGAAACCAGGGUUUGUCUUUUU